rnacentral:rRNA from 1 species
CAGUCGCCGCGGGAAUACGUAGGGUGCGAGCGUUAAUCGGAAUUACUGGGCGUAAAGCGUGCGCAGGCGGUUGUGUAAGACAGGUGUGAAAUCCCCGGGCUUAACCUGGGAACUGCGCUUGUGACUGCACAGCUAGAGUAUGGCAGAGGGGGGUGGAAUUCCACGUGUAGCAGUGAAAUGCGUAGAGAUGUGGAGGAACACCGAUGGCGAAGGCGGCCAUCUGGGACAACACUGACGCUGAGGCACGAAAGCGUGGGGAGCAAACAGGAUUAGAUACCCCUGUAGUCCCUGUCUCUUAUAC